rnacentral:lncRNA from 1 species
CUUUAUCUUCUAAUUGACCUUGACUACCAGGGCUUGGUCAGAAAAGGAAGGAAGCGGAGGUUACAGUGGGAGUUCCAAAUAGCUGCUCCAAGAAGUGACUGGGCUUAGGAAUGUUUUCCUUUGUCUGGUCAGGUAGGACAGAGCCCAGAUCCGUGGCGAUCCCACCUUUGCAUUUCCAUGGAAAUCAAGGCCCACAGAAGAAGAAACACAGAUUCUGA